AGUCGAGCGAUGAGGCCCUUCGGGGCACAUCAGCGGCGAACGGGUGAGUAACACGUGGGUGACCUGCCCCGAAGAGGGGGAUAACCCCGGGAAACUGGGGCUAAUACCCCAUGGGCUGGGCGAUUCGGUUCGUCCAGUAAAGCCGUAAGGCGCUUCGGGAGGGGCCCGCGGCCCAUCAGCUGGUUGGUAGGGUAAUGGCCUACCAAGGCGAAGACGGGUAGGGGGCGUGAGAGCGCGGCCCCCCACACCGGCACUGAGACACGGGCCAGACUCCUACGGGAGGCAGCAGUAAGGAAUAUUGCCCAAUGGGCGAAAGCCUGAGGCAGCGACGCCGCGUGGGCGAUGAAGGCCUUCGGGUCGUAAAGCCCUUUUCUGGGGGAAGAGCAAGGACGGUACCCCAGGAAUAAGCGCCGGCGAACUACGUGCCAGCAGCCGCGGUAAAACGUAGGGCGCGAGCGUUAUCCGGAUUCACUGGGCGUAAAGCGCGUUGAGGCGGCUCCGUAAGUUGGGCGUGAAAGCCCUGGGCUCAACCCGGGGAGGCCGUCCAAUACUGCGGGGCUUGAGGGCAGCAGAGGGAGGUGGAAUUCCCGGUGUAGUGGUGAAAUACGUAGAUAUCGGGAGGAACACCCGUGGCGAAGGCGGCCUCCUGGGCUGCUCCUGACGCUGAAUGCGAAAGCCAGGGGAGCGAACGGGAUUAGAUACCCCGGUAGUCCUGGCCCGUAAACGUUGGAUGCUAGUGUGGGAGGAGAUCUUCCUUUCCGUGCCGAAGCUCACGC
rnacentral:rRNA from 1 species